AAGGCUGACAGCUUGUCUCACUCUCAGUGCUGUCCCACCAGCUCAGCACCGCGUUUGGCCUGUUGCGAUCUUCCCGAUCCCCUCAUUUCUGUGCUGCAAUGCCACCAUCCGCGAGAAGUCAGAGAGGAGAAAAGCUCUUUCCAGCGAGAUGGAGAAGGAAUUAAUUAUACCUCUGCCUCAUCCUCUGAGACCGGAAGACAUGGAGUAACUGUAAGCUGCAAUUCUCAGGAGACAUACUAAGAGUCUUGGGUUCCUUUUCUGCCUGCCCCCCAAGGCCUUGGGCACGUAGGGUUCACCCUGGAAAGGGCACGUUGCUCAAGGCAGUUAUUUCCUCCCUGAGACGACGUGGGGUGCGUUUUUCUGCCGUUUUCACUUGUGGUUUUCCACGUGGUUCGCACUGCUUCCCUUAUUGAGAAAACAGUUUGGGAAGCUGUGUCUGCCAUUCUCAGGAUUUUCUGCCACCACCUGCUGGUGAAAAAAAUCAGUAACACAGGUGGAGCCAUGUAGGACUUCUCAGAGGUGAGCCUUCAACAUACGGGGACCUCUAAACUCGUGCGCCGAGCAUGCGAGACAAAUGUCCAUGGCAUGAAAAUCAAGGACGACUUCUCAGAGAUCUUGAUUGGGUUGGCUUUUUUGGACCCAUCUGCAUAGCCUUUUGCUUUUUAGAUAGUCUACUAAGGUGAUUGGGGCAGGUUGCUGGGUGGGGCCUAAUGGUAUAUGACCCACAGAGCUCAUUCUGCCUGAGCUGCUCUUUGGGGUAGAGGGUAAACCUUAGGAGGAACCGGUCACAGGAAAGAGCUCCUUCUGGAACUGUCAAGCACUCAGUAGGCAACCCGGUGACUGGCUUGAUCUACUUUCCAGUUGAAACACAGUGUACAACACGGGACUUCAUGACCAGAGCUGCUUUUGGUAAGAGGUGUUGUAGCUGGCUUAAGAGAGCAGAUGGAAGCAUCAGCCUUGAGGGCAGCUGAGGGGGUAGAGGUGCUAUGGCAGGCUCUUCACAGAAGUGGCUGAGGAUUUGAGAAGAGGUUACAGAGCAUCAAGGAGCAGCACGUGCAGUGAUGGCUUCCAAAUGGUGAAGAGGUGCCUGAAGCCCCGUCCUGUCUAGCCUGCGCACAUCUCGCUGAGAAUGAAAGCUGCUUUCCAGUAAUUCAGAAAGCCAAGUUACGUCUCAGCCUUGAGCAUCUGGGGCCUGUGCUUUUGGGCCUGUCUAUAGCAUUUGGCAUCU